GGGCCCGCACAAGCGGUGGAUUAUGUGGAUUAAUUCGAUGCAACGCGAAAAACCUUACCUGGCCUUGACAUGUACCGAAUUUAGCAGAGAUGCUUUAGUGCUCGUAAGAGAACGGUAACACAGGUGCUGCAUGGCUGUCGUCAGCUCGUGUCGUGAGAUGUUGGGUUAAGUCCCGCAACGAGCGCAACCCUUGCCAUUAAUUGCCAUCAUUUAGUUGGGCACUUUAAUGGGACUGCCGGUGACAAACCGGAGGAAGGUGGGGAUGACGUCAAGUCCUCAUGGCCCUUAUGGCCAGGGCUUCACACGUAAUACAAUGGUCGGUACAGAGGGCUGCUAACCCGCGAGGGGGUGCUAAUCUCAGAAAACCGAUCGUAGUCCGGAUUGUUGUCUGCAACUCGACAGCAUGAAGUCGGAAUCGCUAG
rnacentral:rRNA from 1 species